rnacentral:tmRNA from 1 species
GGGGCUGACUGGAUUUGACAGCGGGCAGAAGCGGUAUGUAAGCAUGUGGAGACGAGAUGGUAGUCUCCAUAAUCCCUGCUAUCAAAAAUUCAACUGGCGAAACACGUUACGCUCUCGCUGCCUAACUGAAGCACAGUAGGUUACUGGCUUAAUCUCCGCACAGGUUGCGGAGACGAGACAUCGCUCAGAAGCUCUUGUUCCGAGGCGUCUGGCAAAGCGGUGUAGGAAAAUCGGGAAUAGCUGCCGGCGGGUCUCACGCCUGCAGUGAAACGCUUAGAGACUAAGGUGACAGUUGGUGGUCCGGAACUUGCUGACACCCGACACACGAUGCCGGAAUAAACAUGUAGAAAGCAUAUUGGUUCCCUGUAUGGACGAGGGUUCGAUUCCCUCCAGCUCCAC